rnacentral:rRNA from 1 species
GACGAACGCUGGCGGCGUGCCUAAUACAUGCAAGUCGAACGCAGUGGGGACGGGUGCGUAACACGUGGGUAACCUCCCAUCAGAGGGGAUAACCCUUGGAAACAGGUGCUAAACCGCUACUGAUGGAUGGACCCGCGGUGCAUUAGCCAGUGGGUGGGGUAACGGCCCACCAAGGCCACGAUGCAUAGCUGACCUGAGAGGGUGAUCGGCCACACUGGGACUGAGACACGGCCCAGACUCCUACGGGAGGCAGCAGUAGGGAAUCUUCGGCAAUGGACGAAAGUCUGACCGAGCAACGCCGCGUGAGUGAAGAAGGUUUUCGGAUCGUAAAACUCUGUUGUUUGUGAAGCGGUAUCUAACCAGAAAGCCACGGCUAACUACGUGCCAGCAGCCGCGGUAAUUC